rnacentral:rRNA from 1 species
AGAGUUUGAUCCUGGCUCAGGAUUAACGCUGGCGGCGUGCCUAACACAUGCAAGUCGCACGGUCCGACCCGAAAGGGACGGAUAGUGGCGAACGGGUGAGUAACACGUGGGCAACCUACCCUUAAACGGGGGAUAAUCCCGAGAAAUCGGGGCUAAUACCGCAUGAUACCUUUUAGCAUAAGCUGGAAGGCUAAAGGUUCUGUAAAGGACUGUUUAGGGAUGGGCCCGCGGCCUAUUAGCUUGUUGGUAGGGUAAUGGCCUACCAAGGCAACGAUGGGUAGCCGACCCGAGAGGGUGUACGGCCACACUGGGAUUGAGAUACGGCCCAGACUCCUACGGGAGGCGGCAGUGGGGAAUUUUGGACAAUGGGGGAAACCCUGAUCCAGCGACGCCGCGUGAGGGAUGAAGGCCUUCGGGUUGUAAACCUCUGUCAGAGAGGACGAAAUUGCUCCGAUUUUAUCGGAGCAGGACGGUACUCUCAGAGGAAGCCACGGCUAACUCCGUGCCAGCAGCCGCGGUAAUACGGAGGUGGCAAGCGUUAUCCGGAUUCAUUGGGCGUAAAGGGCGUGUAGGUGUCCCCAUAAGUCGGAUGUGAAAUCCUUCUGCUCAACAGAAGAACGGCAUUCGAAACUGUGGGGAUUGAGUACAGGAGAGGAGAGUGGAAUUCCUGGUGUAGCGGUGAAAUGCGUAGAUAUCAGGAGGAACACCGGUGGCGAAGGCGACUCUCUGGCCUGAUACUGACACUGAGGCGCGAAAGCUAGGGGAGCAAACAGGAUUAGAUACCCUGGUAGUCC